UCCGGUUUAGUACCGGCAGUCGCGCUAGACAUGGUAACUAGCGCCGAGGGUUGCGCUCGUUGCGGGACUUAACCCAACAUCUCACGACACGAGCUGACGACAGCCAUGCAGCACCUGUGUUACGGUUCUCUUUCGAACACUUCCACCUCUCAGCAGAAUUCCGUACAUGUCAAGGGUAGGUAAGGUUUUUCGCGUUGCAUCGAAUUAAUCCACAUCAUCCACCGCUUGUGCGGGUCCCCGUCAAUUCCUUUGAGUUUUAAUCUUGCGACCGUACUCCCCAGGCGGUCUACUUCACGCGUUAGCUGCGUUACCAAGUCAAUUAAGACCCGACAACUAGUAGACAUCGUUUAGGGCGUGGACUAC
rnacentral:misc_RNA from 1 species